UCUCUCUUGAGUGGAUCCUGAGUACGACGGAGCACGUGAAAUUCCGUCGGAAUCUGGGAGGACCAUCUCCUAAGGCUAAAUACUCUCUAGUGACCGAUAGUGAACCAGUACCGUGAGGGAAAGGUGAAAAGCACCCCGGAAGGGGAGUGAAAUAGAACCUGAAACCGUGUGCUUACAAGUAGUCAGAGCCCGUUAAUGGGUGAUGGCGUGCCUUUUGUAGAAUGAACCGGCGAGUUACGAUUUGAUGCAAGGUUAAGCAGUAAAUGUGGAGCCGUAGCGAAAGCGAGUCUGAAUAGGGCGUUUAGUAUUUGGUCGUAGACCCGAAACCAGGUGAUCUACCCUUGGUCAGGUUGAAGUUCAGGUAACACUGAAUGGAGGACCGAACCGACUUACGUUGAAAAGUGAGCGGAUGAACUGAGGGUAGCGGAGAAAUUCCAAUCGAACCUGGAGAUAGCUGGUUCUCUCCGAAAUAGCUUUAGGGCUAGCCUCAAGUGAUGAUUAUUGGAGGUAGAGCACUGUUUGGACGAGGGGCCCCUCUCGGGUUACCGAAUUCAGACAAACUCCGAAUGCCAAUUAAUUUAACUUGGGAGUCAGAACAUGGGUGAUAAGGUCCGUGUUCGAAAGGGAAACAGCCCAGACCACCAGCUAAGGUCCCAAAAUAUAUGUUAAGUGGAAAAGGAUGUGGCGUUGCCCAGACAACUAGGAUGUUGGCUUAGAAGCAGCCAUCAUUUAAAGAGUGCGUAAUAGCUCACUAGUCGAGUGACACUGCGCCGAAAAUGUACCGGGGCUAAACAUAUUACCGAAGCUGUGGAUUGUCCUUUGGACAAUGGUAGGAGAGCGUUCUAAGGGCGUUGAAGCAUGAUCGUAAGGACAUGUGGAGCGCUUAGAAGUGAGAAUGCCGGUGUGAGUAGCGAAAGACGGGUGAGAAUCCCGUCCACCGAUUGACUAAGGUUUCCAGAGGAAGGCUCGUCCGCUCUGGGUUAGUCGGGUCCUAAGCUGAGGCCGACAGGCGUAGGCGAUGGAUAACAGGUUGAUAUUCCUGUACCACCUAUA
rnacentral:rRNA from 1 species